UACGGAGGGUGCAAGCGUUACUCGGAAUCACUGGGCGUAAAGAGUGCGCAGGCGGGCUUGUAAGUCAGAUGUGAAAUCCUGUAGCUUAACUACAGAACUGCAUUUGAAACUAUGAGUCUAGAGUGUGGGAGAGGUAGGUGGAAUUCUUGGUGUAGGGGUAAAAUCCGUAGAUAUCAAGAGGAAUACUCAUUGCGAAGGCGACCUACUGGAACAUUACUGACGCUCAUGCACGAAAGCGUGGGGAGCAAACAGG
rnacentral:rRNA from 1 species